rnacentral:rRNA from 1 species
AGACCCGAAACCCGGUGAUCUAGCCAUGGGCAGGUUGAAGGUUGGGUAACACUAACUGGAGGACCGAACCGACUAAUGUUGAAAAAUUAGCGGAUGACCUGUGGCUGGGGGUGAAAGGCCAAUCAAACCGGGAGAUAGCUGGUUCUCCCCGAAAGCUAUUUAGGUAGCGCCUCGUGAAUUCAUCUCCGGGGGUAGAGCACUGUUUCGGCUAGGGGGCCAUCCCGGCUUACCAACCCGAUGCAAACUGCGAAUACCGGAGAAUGUUAUCACGGGAGACACACGGCGGGUGCUAACGUCCGUCGUGAAGAGGGAAACAACCCAGACCGCCAGCUAAGGUCCCAAAGUCAUGGUUAAGUGGGAAACGAUGUGGGAAGGCCCAGACAGCCAGGAUGUUGGCUUAGAAGCAGCCAUCAUUUAAAGAAAGCGUAAUAGCUCACUGGUCGAGUCGGCCUGCGCGGAAGAUGUAACGGGGCUAAACCAUGCACCGAAGCUGCGGCAGCGAACGUAUCACCCAAGACAACUUUGCGGAGUUGACGAUUGACGGAGCGAAGCGACGUCAAAGCGUUCAUUAAAGUCGAGUUGGCUUAGGGAUACGUUCGUUGGGUAGGGGAGCGUUCUGUAAGCCUGCGAAGGUGGCCUGUGAGGGUUGCUGGAGGUAUCAGAAGUGCGAAUGCUGACAUAAGUAACGAUAAAGCGGGUGAAAAGCCCGCUCGCCGGAAGACCAAGGGUUCCUGUCCAACGUUAAUCGGGGCAGGGUGAGUCGACCCCUAAGGCGAGGCCGAAAGGCGUAGUCGAUGGGAAACGGGUUAAUAUUCCCGUACUUGGUGUUACUGCGAAGGGGGGACGGAGAAGGCUAUGUUGGCCGGGCGACGGUUGUCCCGGUUUAAGCGUGUAGGUGUGUGUUCCAGGUAAAUCCGGUUCACUUUAACACUGAGGCGUGAUGACGAGGCACUACGGUGCUGAAGCAACAAAUGCCCUGCUUCCAGGAAAAGCCUCUAAGCAUCAGGUAACAUCAAAUCGUACCCCAAACCGACACAGGUGGUCAGGUAGAGAAUACCAAGGCGCUUGAGAGAACUCGGGUGAAGGAACUAGGCAAAAUGGUGCCGUAACUUCGGGAGAAGGCACGCUGACACGUAGGUGAAGUGAUUUACUCAUGGAGCUGAAGUCAGUCGAAGAUACCAGCUGGCUGCAACUGUUUAUUAAAAACACAGCACUGUGCAAACACGAAAGUGGACGUAUACGGUGUGACGCCUGCCCGGUGCCGGAAGGUUAAUUGAUGGGGUCAGCGCAAGCGAAGCUCCUGAUCGAAGCCCCGGUAAACGGCGGCCGUAACUAUAACGGUCCUAAGGUAGCGAAAUUCCUUGUCGGGUAAGUUCCGACCUGCACGAAUGGCGUAAUGAUGGCCAGGCUGUCUCCACCCGAGACUCAGUGAAAUUGAACUCGCUGUGAAGAUGCAGUGUACCCGCGGCAAGACGGAAAGACCCCGUGAACCUUUACUAUAGCUUGACACUGAACAUUGAGCCUUGAUGUGUAG